rnacentral:rRNA from 1 species
CGAAAGCCUGACGGAGCAAGACCGCGUGAGGGAGGAAGGCUCUUGGGUUGUAAACCUCUUUUCUCAGGGAAGAAGCUCUGACGGUACCUGAGGAAUCAGCCUCGGCUAACUCCGUGCCAGCAGCCGCGGUAAUACGGAGGAGGCAAGCGUUAUCCGGAAUCAUUGGGCGUAAAGCGUCCGUAGGUGGCGAUGUAAGUCUGCUGUCAAAGACCACAGCUUAACUGUGGAAAGGCAGUGGAAACUGCGUGGCUAGAGUACGGUAGGGGUAGAGGGAAUUCCAGGUGUAGCGGUGAAAUGCGUAGAGAUCGGGAAGAACAUCGGUGGCGAAAGCGCUCUACUGGACGGCAACUGACACUCAGGGACGAAAGCUAGGGGAGCG